UACAUGCAGUAGAACGCUGAAGAGAGGAGCUUGCUCUUCUUGGAUGAGUUGCGAACGGGUGAGUAACGCGUAGGUAACCUGCCUUGUAGCGGGGGAUAACUAUUGGAAACGAUAGCUAAUACCGCAUAACAAUGGAUGACACAUGUCAUUUAUUUGAAAGGGGCAAUUGCUCCACUACAAGAUGGACCUGCGUUGUAUUAGCUAGUAGGUGAGGUAACGGCUCACCUAGGCGACGAUACAUAGCCGACCUGAGAGGGUGAUCGGCCACACUGGGACUGAGACACGGCCCAGACUCCUACGGGAGGCAGCAGUAGGGAAUCUUCGGCAAUGGGGGCAACCCUGACCGAGCAACGCCGCGUGAGUGAAGAAGGUUUUCGGAUCGUAAAGCUCUGUUGUAAGUCAAGAACGAGUGUGAGAGUGGAAAGUUCACACUGUGACGGUAGCUUACCAGAAAGGGACGGCUAACUACGUGCCAGCAGCCGCGGUAAUACGUAGGUCCCGAGCGUUGUCCGGAUUUAUUGGGCGUAAAGCGAGCGCAGGCGGUUUGAUAAGUCUGAAGUUAAAGGCUGUGGCUCAACCAUAGUUCGCUUUGGAAACUGUCAAACUUGAGUGCAGAAGGGGAGAGUGGAAUUCCAUGUGUAGCGGUGAAAUGCGUAGAUAUAUGGAGGAACACCGGUGGCGAAAGCGGCUCUCUGGUCUGUAACUGACGCUGAGGCUCGAAAGCGUGGGGAGCGAACAGGAUUAGAUACCCUGGUAGUCCACGCCGUAAACGAUGAGUGCUAGGUGUUGGAUCCUUUCCGGGAUUCAGUGCCGCAGCUAACGCAUUAAGCACUCCGCCUGGGGAGUACGACCGCAAGGUUGAAACUCAAAGGAAUUGACGGGGGCCCGCACAAGCGGUGGAGCAUGUGGUUUAAUUCGAAGCAACGCGAAGAACCUUACCAGGUCUUGACAUCCCGAUGCUAUUUCUAGAGAUAGAAAGUUACUUCGGUACAUCGGUGACAGGUGGUGCAUGGUUGUCGUCAGCUCGUGUCGUGAGAUGUUGGGUUAAGUCCCGCAACGAGCGCAACCCCUAUUGUUAGUUGCCAUCAUUCAGUUGGGCACUCUAGCGAGACUGCCGGUAAUAAACCGGAGGAAGGUGGGGAUGACGUCAAAUCAUCAUGCCCCUUAUGACCUGGGCUACACACGUGCUACAAUGGUUGGUACAACGAGUUGCGAGUCGGUGACGGCAAGCUAAUCUCUUAAAGCCAAUCUCAGUUCGGAUUGUAGGCUGCAACUCGCCUACAUGAAGUCGGAAUCGCUAGUAAUCGCGGAUCAGCACGCCGCGGUGAAUACGUUCCCGGGCCUUGUACACACCGCCCGUCACACCACGAGAGUUUGUAACACCCGAAGUCGGUGAGGUAACCUUUUGGAGCCAGC
rnacentral:rRNA from 1 species